rnacentral:tRNA from 1 species
CAGGGAGACAACAAAAUGUUUAAUAUUAUUAUUUUGUCACCUUAGGUCGAUCGGUAUCUCACGUUUUUAAUUUAUUAAGAAUUUCAUUUCCUAAGUUUUUCUAGGUCACACCCAUUAUUUUUCCUGGGCCAUUAGCUCAGGUGGUUAGAGCGCACCCCUGAUAAGGGUGAGGUCCCUGGUUCAAGUCCAGGAUGGCCCAUAUCUCUAUGUUGGGGGUAUAGCUCAGUUGGUAGAGCGCCUGCUUUGCAAGCGGGAUGUCAGCGGUUCGAGUCCGCUUACCUCCACUGAUUACCACCUCUUCCAUAACUGGUAGAAAGGAAAUUUUUGAGUUGUGAUCAAAUUCUGAAAGAAUCUAGCUUCCUAAUGAAAUCAUUAAGAUGCUGGACUCAUUGAAUUAAUUUCAUUGUUUUCAGAGAACCUUGACAACUGCAUAGAUUAUUUUUAAAGACAAUAAGCAUCUUUAAUGGUGCAGAUUUAUUAUUUGUGCGAAUGCAUUAAUAACAAUUCUAUUAAGCUGAUGCUUCAAUUUUUGAAGUUAUU